UGGGGAAUUUUGGACAAUGGGGGCAACCCUGAUCCAGCCAUGCCGCGUGCAGGAUGAAGGCCUUCGGGUUGUAAACUGCUUUUGUUAGGAACGAAACGGUGGAUGUUAAUACCAUCUACUAAUGACGGUACCUAAAGAAUAAGCACCGGCUAACUACGUGCCAGCAGCCGCGGUAAUACGUAGGGUGCAAGCGUUAAUCGGAAUUACUGGGCGUAAAGCGUGCGCAGGCGGCUUGAUAAGACAGGUGUGAAAUCCCCGAGCUCAACUUGGGAAUAGCACUUGUGACUGCCAGGCUAGAGUAUGUCAGAGGGAGGUGGAAUUUCCAAGUGUAGCAGUUGAAAUUGCGUAGAUAUUUGGAAGAACACCGAUGGCGAAGGCAGCCUCCUGGGAUAAUACUGACGCUCAUGCACGAAAAGCGUGGGAGCAAAACA
rnacentral:rRNA from 1 species